AGUGAACGCUGGCGGUAGGCCUAACACAUGCAAGUCGAACGGCAGCACAGUAAGAGCUUGCUCUUACGGGUGGCGAGUGGCGGACGGGUGAGGAAUACAUCGGAAUCUACUUUUUCGUGGGGGAUAACGUAGGGAAACUUACGCUAAUACCGCAUACGACCUACGGGUGAAAGCAGGGGAUCUUCGGACCUUGCGCGAUUGAAUGAGCCGAUGUCGGAUUAGCUAGUUGGCGGGGUAAAGGCCCACCAAGGCGACGAUCCGUAGCUGGUCUGAGAGGAUGAUCAGCCACACUGGAACUGAGACACGGUCCAGACUCCUACGGGAGGCAGCAGUGGGGAAUAUUGGAUAAUGGGCGCAAGCCUGAUCCAGCCAUACCGCGUGGGUGAAGAAGGCCUUCGGGUUGUAAAGCCCUUUUGUUGGGAAAGAAAAGCAGCAGGUUAAUACCCCGCUGUUCUGACGGUACCCAAAGAAUAAGCACCGGCUAACUUCGU
rnacentral:rRNA from 1 species